rnacentral:rRNA from 1 species
GACAUAGGUGGCGAACGUUAUCCGGUUUUAUUGGGCGUAAAGGGUGCGUAGGCGGUCGGGUAAGUCUGAUGUGAAAUCUCACAGCUUAACUGUGAAACUGCAUUGGAUACUAUCCGGCUCGAGGAAUGGAGGGGAGACUGGAAUACUUGGUGUAGCAGUGAAAUGCGUAGAUAUCAAGUGGAACACCAGUGGCGAAGGCGAGUCUCUGGACAUUUCCUGACGUUGAGGCACGAAAGCCAGGGGAGCAAACGGG